rnacentral:rRNA from 2 species
UGGGGAAUAUUGCACAAUGGGCGCAAGCCUGAUGCAGCCAUGCCGCGUGUAUGAAGAAGGCCUUCGGGUUGUAAAGUACUUUCAGUCGGGAGGAAGGUGGUAAGGUUAAUAACCUUAUCAAUUGACGUUACCGACAGAAGAAGCACCGGCUAACUCCGUGCCAGCAGCCGCGGUAAUACGGAGGGUGCAAGCGUUAAUCGGAAUUACUGGGCGUAAAGCGCACGCAGGCAGUUGAUUGAGUCAGAUGUGAAAUCCCCGGGCUUAACCCGGGAAUUGCAUCUGAUACUGGUCAGCUAGAGGCUUGUAGAGGGGGGUAGAAUUCCAUGUGUAGCGGUGAAAUGCGUAGAGAUGUGGAGGAAUACCGGUGGCGAAGGCGGCCCCCUGGACAAAGACUGACGCUCAGGUGCGAAAGCGUGGGGAGCAAACAGG